CCUACGGGAGGCAGCAGUGAGGAAUAUUGGUCAAUGGCCGGAAGGCUGAACCAGCCAAGCCGCGUGAAGGACGAAGGUGCCAAGCAUUGUAAACUUCUUUUGUCAAGGGACAAAAUCAGGCUCGAGAGCCUGACCGAGGGUACUUGAAGAAAAAGCAUCGGCUAACUCCGUGCCAGCAGCCGCGGUAAUACGGAGGAUGCGAGCGUUAUCCGGAUUUAUUGGGUUUAAAGGGUGCGUAGACGGUUAUGUAAGUCUGGAGUGAAAGCCCGGGGCCCAACCCCGGGACUGCUUUGGAAACUGUGUAACUGGAGUACAGGAGGGGCAGGCGGAAUUCCUGGUGUAGCGGUGAAAUGCGUAGAUAUCAGGAGGAACACCGGCGGCGAAGGCGGCCUGCUGGACUGAAACUGACGUUGAGGCUCGAAAGCGUGGGGAGCAAACAGGAUUAGAUACCCGAGUAGUC
rnacentral:rRNA from 1 species